UACGUAGGGGGCUAGCGUUGUCCGGAAUCAUUGGGCGUAAAGCGCGUGUAGGCGGUCCGGUAAGUCCGCUGUAAAAGUCAAAGGCUCAACCUUUGAAUGUCAGUGGAUACUGCCGGGCUAGAGUCCGGAAGAGGCGAGUGGAACUCCUGGUGUAGCGGUGGAAUGCGCAGAUAUCAGGAAGAACACCAACGGCGAAGGCAGCUCGCUGGGACGGUACUGACGCUGAGACGCGAAAGCGUGGGGAGCGAACAGG
rnacentral:rRNA from 1 species